AAUGAGAAAGGAAGCAAUAUUUCAGUAAUAGCGUUCUGUGACACUUUUGUAUUUUUGUGUCUGAUUUUGUAAGCAAGUUGUUUUUAAGUGAGGUGAAAGUUGGGGUACGCAAGAGAAAUCAGAUUCUUGAAAGGGGUACAGAUGUCUGGAAAGGCUGAGGACCACUGGUGUAUAUUAGAGACAAGGU